UACAGAGGGUGCAAACGUUGCUCGGAAUUACUGGGCGUAAAGCGCGUGUAGGCGGGCUUGCAAGUCAGAUGUGAAAUCUCCGGGCUCAACCCGGGAACUGCAUUUGAAACUGCAAGCCUUGAGUAUCGGAGAGGAAAGCGGAAUUCCUGGUGUAGAGGUGAAAUUCGUAGAUAUCAGGAGGAACACCGGUGGCGAAGGCGGCUUUCUGGACGAUAACUGACGCUGAGACGCGAAAGCGUGGGGAGCAAACAGG
rnacentral:rRNA from 1 species